UGAGUAACAUAGGACGUCAUAGAUGUAC
rnacentral:sRNA from 1 species